rnacentral:rRNA from 1 species
UACGUAGGGGGCAAGCGUUGUCCGGAAUCAUUGGGCGUAAAGCGCGCGUAGGCGGCCCGGUAAGUCCGUUGUGAAAGUCAAAGGCUCAACCUUUGAACGCCGAUGGAUACUGCCGGGCUAGAGUCCGGAAGAGGCGAGUGGAAUUCCUGGUGUAGCGGUGGAAUGCGUAGAGAUCGGGAAGAACAUCGGUGGCGAAGGCGGCCAGCUGGGCCGUUGCUGACGCUGAGGCGCGACAGCGUGGGGAGCAAACAGG